rnacentral:rRNA from 1 species
CGGACGGGUGAGUAACGCGUGAGAAUCUGGCUUCAGGUCUGGGACAACCACUGGAAACGGUGGCUAAUACCGGAUGUGCCGAGAGGUGAAAGGUUAACUGCCUGAAGAUGAGCUCGCGUCUGAUUAGCUAGUUGGAAGUGUAAUGGACUCCCAAGGCGACGAUCAGUAGCUGGUCUGAGAGGACGAUCAGCCACACUGGGACUGAGACACGGCCCAGACUCCUACGGGAGGCAGCAGUGGGGAAUUUUCCGCAAUGGGCGAAAGCCUGACGGAGCAAUACCGCGUGAGGGAGGAAGGCUCUUGGGUCGUAAACCUCUUUUCUCAGGGAAGAACACAAUGACGGUACCUGAGGAAUAAGCAUCGGCUAACUCCGUGCCAGCAGCCGCGGUAAUACGGAGGAUGCAAGCGUUAUCCGGAAUGAUUGGGCGUAAAGCGUCCGCAGGUGGCAAUGUAAGUCUGCUGUUAAAGAGUCUAGCUCAACUAGAUAAGAGCAGUGGAAACUACAUAGCUAGAGUACGUUCGGGGCAGAGGGAAUUCCUGGUGUAGCGGUGAAAUGCGUAGAGAUCAGGAAGAACACCAGUGGCGAAGGCGCUCUGCUAGGCCGUAACUGACACUGAGGGACGAAAGCUAGGGGAGCGAAUGGGAUUAGAUACCCCAGUAGUC